rnacentral:lncRNA from 1 species
UUCAACCUACACUUCUAGAGUUUUCUCCCAAAACUCAAACCCUAAUCCCAUACCCAGCAAACACUUUCUUCAGCCACAUCCAAAUCUCGCAACUCUUUCACAACACCAUCGAAAAACCUCCACAAAUUCAAAUUGACUUAUAGAUCUAGAACUUACAAAUCUGGCCUAUUCAGUGUCUAGAAAAACAGGGGAAAUUUCUCACUGUUACAGAUCUAGAACACAAUCUACAUCUAAAAGUGAUUCCUCCUUCAGAAACGUUUGAGCACGGGAUUAAGUUUGAUGAUUCGUGAAGCAAAGAACCUCAAACGCCAAAGCAUCUUCAUAUCAGAAAAUUUAUGAGUAAAAAGGUAUGAAUACCCCAAUUUUUUACACCACUAUUUCAAAAUUAUCUAACCCCAAAAUCGUUAUUAGGUACCCAGUUCAAUUGACAAUGCAAAAGAACCUUAUUUCACAAAGCACGAAUUACCUAUGGCGUUGCUUUCCAUUACGAUUUCAGGUAGUAAUUUUAUACCACAAUAUUUGUCUAAAUUGUAUUGCCAGAAAUUCCAUACAUACUAACUAAAUCUACUUUCGUACAG